rnacentral:tRNA from 1 species
UUUGAUGUAGUUAUAAUUGGUAUAAUAUCUGUUUUGGGGACAGAAGUUAUUGGUUCGAGUCCAAUCAUCGAGA